rnacentral:sRNA from 1 species
AACACACCUCUAACAUUUCACCUCUAGCUCAGAUGAGAGAGAGAAUGGGACUUCUUGGUACUGAUUGUUUUUCCUGUGCCUCAAUUGGUUUCUUUUAGGGAGCUACAAAUUUACGUGUUCACUGAUGAUUGAUCUUUUCAUCCAGCACAAUGGACAGAAGUCUAAGGAACGUCCUUGUGGUUUCCUUUGGGUUCCUGCUUCUCUUUACAGCCUAUGGAGGUCUGCAGAGCCUGCAGCCUGUACAGCGAGGAGGGCCUGGGUGUGACAGCGCUCAGCACCCUCUAUGGAGGCAUGCUCCUGUCCUCCAUGUUCCUCCCACCGCUCCUCAUUGACAGGCUGGGCUGCAAGGGGACCAUCAUCCUCUCCAUGUGUGGCUACGUGGCCUUCUCCGUGGGCAACUUCUUCGCCAGCUGGUACACUUUGAUCCCCACCUCCAUACUGCUGGGACUCGGGGCCGCCCCGCUGUGGUCUGCACAGUGCACAUACCUCACGAUCACGGGAAACACACACGCAGAGAAGGCGGGAAAGCGUGGCAAAGACAUGGUGAACCAGUAUUUCGGCAUCUUCUUCCUCA